AUAUGAAGGCGGGCUGGAACCUCUCGGGGUUACAGCCUUGCUGAAUUAUUCACCCUUGUCUUUUGCGUACUUCUUGUUUCCUUGGUGGGUUCGCCCACCACUAGGACAAACAUAAACCUUUUGUAAUUGCAAUCAGCGUCAGUAACAAAUUAAUAAUUACAACUUUCAACAACGGAUCUCUUGGUUCUGGCAUCGAUGAAGAACGCAGCGAAAUGCGAUAAGUAGUGUGAAUUGCAGAAUUCAGUGAAUCAUCGAAUCUUUGAACGCACAUUGCGCCCUUUGGUAUUCCAAAGGGCAUGCCUGUUCGAGCGUCAUUUGUACCCUCAAGCUUUGCUUGGUGUUGGGCGUCUUGUCUCUAGCUUUGCUGGAGACUCGCCUUAAAGUAAUUGGCAGCCGGCCUACUGGUUUCGGAGCGCAGCACAAGUCGCACUCUCUAUCAGCAAAGGUCUAGCAUCCAUUAAGCCUUUUUUUCAACUUUUGACCUCGGAUCAGGUAGGGAUACCCGCUGAACUUAAGCAUAUCAAUAAGA
rnacentral:rRNA from 1 species